GUGUGUCACUGCUGUAGGAUGUUGAUCGCGUGGGUGACCAAGAGUCCUUCCGACUCGCCAGUUCACUUGAUCCCCUCAUCUGCCUUGCCAAGAUCAACGCUGAGACUCUCUACCUUCAGUUUGAAGUGGUCGUGUGUUGAUUGGGUCAAACGUACGGAAGAAGUUUACUUUCAUUUGAGAGAUCACAUCAGCACAAGUUAAAAUAAAACUUUUUAGGAGGAUUUAGCAAGAUCGCAUGAUACAAGCGUUCACUUUUGAGAGAGAACGAGAAGUGCAUGGCACAAAAUACCCAGACUUUGGGCACUCCAUAACACUUUGACUAAUGAGCUUCAAACAGAUACAAGCAAAGGAUGGAUUUUCAAGAAUUUUUGAAAGAAUUGGACUGUGAUGACGUGAGAUUACAACUUCUGACACCAUGGGAGAGACUUCUGCUUACCAAACGACCCAUUAUUGCUCCCGAUGGCUACAUUCCCAACUCCGUUGUUCGCAGACGACUGCAUUUUGUACAGCCUGAAUCACCCAAACCUGUCUGGCAACUCAAACCGGUUCCAGAAUUUGAUCCUCGAUACCUCCCUGACGGUUGGAAGAUAAAGAAAGACAAAGAAAAUGUAUGUUUUUACAA
rnacentral:sRNA from 1 species